rnacentral:rRNA from 1 species
UACGGAGGGUGCAAGCGUUAUCCGGAUUCACUGGGUUUAAAGGGUGCGUAGGUGGGCAGGUAAGUCAGUGGUGAAAUCUCCGGGCUUAACUCGGAAACUGCCGUUGAUACUAUCUGUCUUGAAUAUCGUGGAGGUUAGCGGAAUAUGUCAUGUAGCGGUGAAAUGCUUAGAUAUGACAUAGAACACCAAUUGCGCAGGCAGCUUACUACACGGUAAUUGACACUGAGGCACGAAAGCGUGGGGAUCAAACAGG